CAGCAGCCACGGUAAUACGAAGGGUACAAGCGUUAAUCGGAAUUACUGGGCGUAAAGCGUGCGCAGGCGGUUUGUUAAGACAGAUGUGAAAUCCCCGGGCUCAACCUGGGAACUGCAUUUGUGACUGGCAAGCUAGAGUCUGGCAGAGGGGGGUGGAAUUCCGCGUGUAGCAGUGAAAUGCGUAGAUAUGCGGAGGAACACCGAUGGCGAAGGCAGCCCCCUGGGCCAACACUGACGCUCAUGCACGAAAGCGUGGGGAGCAAACAGGAUUAGAUACCCCGGUAGUCCCUGUCUCUUAUAC
rnacentral:rRNA from 1 species